UUUUAUCUGUGGAUUAAUUGUCGGAGGGCCUUGUGCAUUUCAGGCUGUUGAAGAAGUAUUUGCAGUAUAUACUGUAACGUUCAGGGAAGAAUGACUUCUGAAACGGACCCCAACACUGCUGGUGUUCAAUACAACCGCUGGAAUGAAGACAACAUCAACCUGAAUGUGGCUGGAACAGGUGUAACGGGGCUCUACAACAGGGUCUGCACUGGCACCCUGGGCGUAGCUAUCAAGGUGGCCGGAGCUUUGGCUGCACUAGUGGCUGUUUACAUCAUAGGAUACCUCAUUGGAUAUUACGCCCACAAAUGCUGACCAGCCACUGACCGAAGGACCCUUGUUCAGAGAGGAAGGACCCUCAAUGGAUGGAAUUAUGUUAUGUAUCAAUUAUAUGUUAUGUAUCAAUUAUAUAUGGUUUUUUAAAUGACCAAAUAAUGGCUGUAUGAGAGGAUCAAAGAUUAUUGGAGCCACACUUUCAAUAAUAGUCAGGAUUUUUUGUUUCCUUUUUUAGAAAUGUUGGGAUUGCAGUUUGCUUGUUGUAAAGUGAUUUUACAGCUUCCCCACAGCUUUGUCUUUUAUGUGAAAUGCAAUUAGGCGAUUAAGUCCAAAAAUAUGAACAAAAUGUUUGACUUUUGUUAUUCAAUAUGUUCUUCUCAGUAAGUGAUAUUACAGUGCCUUCAGAAAGUAUUCAUACCCCUUGACCUAUUCCACAUUUUGUUGUGUUACAUCCUGAAUUUAAA